rnacentral:rRNA from 1 species
CCUACGGGCGGCAGCAGUGAGGAAUAUUGGUCAAUGGACGAGAGUCUGAACCAGCCAAGUAGCGUGAAGGAUGACUGCCCUAUGGGUUGUAAACUUCUUUUAUAUGGGAAUAAAAUGUUCCACGUGUGGGAUUUUGUAUGUACCAUAUGAAUAAGGAUCGGCUAACUCCGUGCCAGCAGCCGCGGUAAUACGGAGUAUCCGAGCGUUAUCCGGAUUUAUUGGGUUUAAAGGGAGCGUAUGUGGAUUGUUAAGUCAGUUGUGAAAGUUUGCGGCUCAACCGUAAAAUUGCAGUUGAAACUGGCAGUCUUGAGUACAGUAGAGGUGGGCGGAAUUCGUGGUGUAGCGGUGAAAUGCUUAGAUAUCACGAAGAACUCCGAUUGCGAAGGCAGUUCACUGGACUGCAACUGACACUGAGGCUCGAAAGUGUGGGUAUCAAACAGGAUUAGAUACCCGAGUAGUC